AAGCCCGUGCCUUCCGGCAUUUCUCCCGUUCCGAUGCAGCACGCCCGUCUCACAAUGAAUACAUUUUUGCCUUCGAGUCUGGGACUAACCCUCCUCGGAGCUCAAGCCCACAUGUCAGCGGCCACAACUCUUCCUGCCCUCGUCCCUCGCCCAUAGAGGGCAAGGAAGUGAGGUGGGGAACGAGCGCUGAGCAAGGCGAAGGCGCUUACCUGGAAAUUAAAAGUCAGAGGACGGCAGAGACGACGAGCUCGAAGGAACCGGGAGAACAGAGAGACUGCGGCGCGGGAAGACGCCUGAUAAAGCGAACUCUACAUUGUUGACUCCUAGAAUAAAUUUGUUCAACAUUGUAAAGGCCUGCCUCCCACUCCUCCACCAAUCCCACCACAACUCGAUUUGCUACCCUUUAGAUGCCAUUCAUCUGUAAUUCCUGGCUGAGCUUUCUGUGACAUGUUGGCUGGUUUAUCAAGAGCAGUCCGAUAGAAGGGACUAAAGUGGCACGGAACUGUGAUAUACUGCCAAAAGGUACAGGAACAGGCCUUCCUAGAAGUGGAUCCACACCUACACUACUGUGUGGGCUGACACCUGGAUGGAUGGUAUAUGAAUGCUAUGAAUCAGAGUCACCUAGCUAGGCCAAUCCCAGAACCCCGACCCUCUAAAACCACAGAUGUUUGUUUUGUCUUGAGACAAGGUCUGAGUGUGUAACUCAAUUUGUGAAUUGGUGCUUAGUUCCCUUGCCCCUUGAGCCUCACACAGGCUAGAACUUAAUGCAUGCAGCAGCAUGCCUGAUAUACUCAUUAAGCUUUGUGCUAAUUUGAUAUCAAUAGAUACCUAAUACAUCUUCCCAGCAAA
rnacentral:lncRNA from 1 species